AUGCUUCGUUGGAAUAUCAGCGUUGAUGUCGAGUAUACCAGGGAAGACAAACCUCCGCAAAUUGCUGCAGUUCUGCAGUUAUGCGCGGAGGAUCUCGUCCUGGUAUACCACAUCACCGCGGCAACCAAAUGGCCCAAGGGACUCCGCCCGCUCCUACAGGAGAAGAAGCUGUACACCUUUGUUGGCUUCUGCAUUGGAGGCGACAAGGAGAAGCUGAAGUUGUCUGGUUUAGAGAUCAACCCCGACAAGACCGUCGACUUGCAGCGCAAAUGGAGAGUUCCAAACAAUGGAAAGAAGUGGCAGUCUUUGGCAGAGUUUGCAGGCAGCCUCAUCCACCCAUCCUACAAGGAAAUGAAGCAGAAGAUCGACAGGAAAUCGGACCACCUACUAUGGGGGGACAGCCCACUGCCAAACAACCUCAUUGAGUACGCCACGAAAGAUGUGUACGUCACCUACGAGGCAUGGAAGAAAAUCGAAAUCACCAAAGAAGGUUUGGAGCUCUGGCAAGAGGCGGAGGAUCAUUGGGAUGACCCCUACUACUGGGGAUAUUGA
rnacentral:rRNA from 1 species